UUUAACGUAAUUUUUACGACAUUAAAUUUCAUAUUUUUGUUGAACCAAUUGUCGAACCACAUAGCGGAUGUCCACUGUAUUCAGGCUGCCCAACUCGAACAGCGAACAUGCAACAAAAGAGUUCCAAUUCAUGCAAAAGAGUCCACGUGCAGCGAACAAGUUUUCUCUAAUUUAUGUAGGUUUUAAAUUUCGAAUUACCUGACCUUAAAAUUGCUAUGGUUUUUAGCCGUUGCCCUAAAAGUGAUCUAAGAAAAAUAAUACGCCUUCGAUGUCAAAACAAAUACAUUCCCAUAGAACAUCAUGAACAUCUUCAGUUGUCUUUUGUGGGUGUGUUUCGAUGUGUGUGGCAUGAAAUAAAUGGUAAUGAAGUGUGUGAAAAUAAUGCGAAAUUCAUUGGGCAAGGGCAACGGCACUACACAGCAGCAGCAGCAUCAGUGGCAGCAUCAGUGGCAGCAUCAGUGGCAGCUGUUGGAAUUCUCAACAUGACAUGCAAAAGGCGUCACAAUGAACUCCUUAACCGAAAUCAAAAGAAAGACUCAAUUUUACUUGAAGACUUAACGAAAUCAUUAUAAAAAACCAAAAACGAAAACCAUGUGGGGGUGAAUUUUUUGAUUGGCUUCACACUUACAUGUACUUACACAC